UGUACGAUAUGAUUGAACGUGCUUUUGGGUC
rnacentral:piRNA from 1 species